rnacentral:rRNA from 1 species
CCUACGAGUGGCAGCAGUGAGGAAUAUUGGUCAAUGGGCGCGAGCCUGAACCAGUCAAGUAGCGUGAAGGAUGACUGCCCUACGGGUUGUAAACUUCUUUUAUAAAGGAAUAAACUGCGGCACGUGUGCCUUUUUGUAUGUACUUUAUGAAUAAGGAUCGGCUAACUCCGUGCCAGCAGCCGCGUGAAUGCGGAGGAUCCGGGCGUUAUCCGGAUUUAUUGGGUUUAAAGGGAGCGUAGAUGGGUUGUUAAGUCAGUUGUGAAAGUUUGCGGCUCAACCGUAAAAUUGCCAUGGAUACUGGCAGCCUUGAGUACAGUUGAGGUAGGCGGAAUUCGUGGUGUAGCGGUGAAAUGCUUAGAUAUCACGAAGAACUCCGAUGGCGAAGGCAGCUUACUAAACUGCCACUGACAUUGAUGCUCGAAAGUGUGGGUAUCAAACAGGAUUAGAUACCCUUGUAGUC